rnacentral:rRNA from 1 species
CGGGUAGAGUAACGCGUGAGUAACCUGCCUUACACAAGGGGAUAGCCUUUGGAAACGAAGAAUAAUACCCUAUAAAACCAUAAAAGCACAUGCUAGAAUGGUCAAAGUGAUAGCGGUGUAAGAUGGACUUGCGUCUGAUUAGCUAGUUGGUGAGAUAAAAGCUCACCAAGGCAACGAUCAGUAGCCGGCUUGAGAGGGUGGACGGCCACAUUGGGACUGAGAUACGGCCCAG